UUUCAGAUAAAUAAUGCUAGGAAGCGAAGAUUUUCAAAUCAGUUUCUUGCGGCAAUAUCUUGGUCUUCUUCCAGAGAUCGUACAGUUAAUUUACUCAGUGAGACUACUUAAUCCAUCUUUUCCUUGAUCUUACAAGAUGCAUCACAGAAGGCUUCAAAUGACUUCCCUCAGCAACUGGUGCUAAGGUUUGUGCUUCCUACAGGUCUCCUACUUGUACAAGAUCUCCUGAAGCUCACCAUCAAGUGCUGUUCCGCAUCAUUAAGAACGGCAGUUAUUGAUCGCAAUCAAUCCCUUUGAAAAUUAUCAGCCAUCUGUCUUCCCUCCCCUCAGGAAGAUACCUAAAAUUUUACUUCCCUUUAGAGAUCAAGUCAAGAUGUGACAAGUUGAACCAUCCUUUAAAAAUGAUGAGCACUAGAGAAAAAUUUGGAUGUAAUCCACUGGCUUUAUUAACUGUAUAUUUACGAGCAGAAUUAAAGAAAAUUACUUUUAGCUAUUUCCACUUUGGCAUCCACAGCUCUUUAACAUUGUUAGCAGGGUUAGCCAAAUCAAAGAAUUUGCCCUGUAUACAAGUAAGUUAUUAGUGUGAUAAUAGUAUCUUCCACUGCAACUUCCAUAACCCUGAAGAGUAACAUUCCCAGAAGUACAAAUUUGCAAACAGAUCUUCAAACAGAGAGUAAAUAUUACGAGAGCCUUUCUACCUCCAUUUGUCUGGGAUAUUCCAAGUGUAUUUUUCUUGAGAGGAACUUGACAUGAAAAAGUGUGAAUCUUUUGCUUUUCACUGGGAAAAGCAGGAUAGUUCAUUCCUGAAAUUCUUUUAUGAAUCAGUGACGUGUAUAUCUGUUUAUUUUUCUUGCUAUCCUGGUAUUCUCUGAGAGGUUAAGUGUUUAAUCAUAUUUGAUUGACUAAUGGCCUGAAGAAAGUUUCAAAUUCCUCUUAAAGGCUCUUGAUUCAGCUAGCUACUGUUCUCUGGAAGAGAACACCUACCUCAAAUCUAACAAAAUAAAUAACUACCUAAGAGAUCAAGACACAUCUACACUAUUUUUGCAACGUCAGCUCAAGUCUGCAAGUCUUUUAAAGCCUUCAGAGGGAGUUGCGCCUGAGCUAAUAAGCUCAGCCCAGAGGGACUAACACUAGAAAAUAAUUUGGUUUCCAUGACUAUUUACUACUUGACUUUGCAAAAAAAAAAAAAAGCCUGAACAGAUAAUUUGCUGUUACUUAUUGCUAACUGUGAGAAAAUUAAGGUGUAUUACUUUCAAAAUAUAGCUAUCUUGAAUGUAUCACACAGCUACACUCAUCAAAUGGUUUGAAACACUCUUGUAUGUGACAUCUGAUCUAAUCCACAGUCAGCUGGAGUUUGCAAAACUUCCCUAGUUUUAAAGUUGCCAGAGUUACUGCAGAACUAUAAAAACUGUGAUAUCCUCUUUCUGCUUCCUUCAAGAGAAAUAUAUUAUCCAAUUAACCAUUCUGCUUCAUGAAAUAAGAAACUAAAAAAUAAGCCCCACAAGAAAACCUUCUUAUCUGACAACAACAUGCAACCUGCAGCUUUUUAAACUUUCUAUACAGUUACUCAACGUGAGUCUAAGUCUGUUCUCAAUUCCAGACUUGUCCACCAUCAAUGCUGUUUAUAUACUAGCAUAUACUAAUGUUGGCUUUGGGCAAGCUGUUGAUUAUGCUUCAGGGAAGAUGGCCAGUAUAUACUCAGCAAGGACCAAAAGCUGCUGUUCAUGAUUUCUGGAAGAAGGGGCCAACUGACAUGUACCAAAUGAUCCAUCACUAACUCCUUUUAAGCAUACCAUGUAAGUUUUAACCUCCAGCUACAUACAGUGUUUUGCAGCCAGUAACAAAGUUCACAGGUCUUAGGCUCAGCAAACUCAAUUGGCCCAAUCUUCAAUUUCCUCUUCAUCAUGGGACAUAGACAAAGCUCUGUUUGUAGACUGCCAACACAGAAACAGAAGUAAAAUUGUUGGUAGUGAUUUGGAGCUUUGCUCUUCUUUCUUUAAAACUGUGCACCUAAAUCAUCAGAUCCAGGUUCCAAAAACA